rnacentral:misc_RNA from 1 species
AUUCUUUGUAAAUUAUCUUUUUUUACUUAAAAACACUUUUUAUGACUCAUUUAUCAAUAAUUAUUAUGUACACAUAAAGAUUAUAGUAUAUCAAAUAUCCUCAAACACGAAGUGUGUCAUUCAGAUAUGAUAUAGAAUUCAUAAAUUGUAAAUAAACUGUUGCUUUUUUAAAACAAAAAUGAUAGCACCAGCUGAAGGUUCCACCAAUAAUGAACCUUUAGUGAAUAAUUCCAGUAGUUUAAGGAGACGAAUUUCAGGUCUUUUUAACAGAGAUAGUAGUAGUCAUGGAAGUAAUAGCGGGAUGGGAUAUGUGGAGUUUGGAACAUUCUCUGAAGAGUCUACCACUAGGACCUUGGGAACAUUUGCGGGAGUAUUUUGUCCAGUUACUUUGUCUAUGUUCUCAGCGCUCAUAUUUCUGCGAAUGGGUUACAUUGUAGGGAACGCAGGUUUGCUGGUGACGUUGACCCAGUUUGCAAUCGCAUAUGGUAUUUUAGUUUUUACUGUUAUGUCAAUUUGUGCUAUAUCUACAAAUGGAGCUGUUGAAGGAGGCGGUGCAUAUUUUAUGAUAAGCAGGACACUAGGGCCCGAGUUUGGGGGAUCAAUUGGUACAUUAUUUUUCUUUGCAAACAUUGUUAGCAGUGCUCUUUAUAUAUCUGGUUGCGUGGAAGGUUUAAUAGAAUUUUUUGGACCCUCAGGUUAUUUGGUAGCUGGUGUCAUUGAGAAAGGUAGAUGGUAUGGAUUCCUGUAUGGAACUUUAUUAAAUAUUUUAAAUCUCUUUAUAUGCCUCAUUGGAGCUUCGAUGUUUGCAAAGACUUCUCUAUUUAUAUUGGUGCUGGUGUGCAGCUGCUUGGGAAUUACAUUUUUCAGUUUUUUCUAUGAGGGCUUUUUGGAGGUUCCCAUCCCUGAUACAAAUACAUUGAUUCAAAAUGCCACGAUGCCUGUUACGAGAAAUUAUACUGGGCUUUCUAGUGCUACAUUUAAUAGCAAUUUGUUUCCUCAAUAUGGACAAGAUUAUACUGCCAAAGGAGAGCUAACUUCCUUUGCGACAGUAUUUGGUGUUUUGUUUUCUGGAGUUACAGGAAUCAUGGCUGGGGCCAAUAUGAGCGGUGAGCUGAAAAAUCCGGGAAAAUCCAUCCCGAGAGGAACUCUCUCCGCUGUAGGCUUUACGUUCAUCAUUUACAUCUUCAUAUCCUUUCUAACUACUGGUACCUGCACAAAAGAGCUAUUGCAAAACAAUUACGUAUAUAUGGCUGGAGUAAGCGCUUUUCCUGCAAGUGUGGCUAUUGGAUUAAUCACCGCUACGUGGUCUGCCAGCCUUAGUAACAUCAUAGGCGCUUCUAGGGUUGUUGAAGCUCUCUCGAAGGAUAGAAUUUUUGGUCCAAUCUUAAACUUUAUACCAAAAGGUACAUGGAAAGGAAAUCCAAUAGCAGCAGUGGUGCUCUCAGCAGUACUGGUCCAGUUCAUCCUUCUUAUCGGUUCUCUUAACAUCAUCGCCCAAUUGAACUCGGUUCUGUUUCUGUUGAGCUAUUUGGCUACGAAUAUAGCCUGCUUGGGACUAGAAUUAGCAGGUGCUCCAAACUUCCGUCCGUCGUUUAUGUACUUUACGUGGCACACGGCUCUCUUGGCGUUCUUGGGGACGAUGAUCAUGAUGUUCGUGAUAAGUCCCAUCUAUGCAGCCAGUAGCAUACUGCUGUGUUUGAUAUUGGUGAUCGCUCUGCAUCUGUUUUCGCCCUCCAAAGAAGCUCAGUGGGGAAGUAUAUCACAAGCUUUGAUAUUUCACCAGGUACGAAAAUAUUUAUUGCUAUUGGAUUCUCGUAAAGAUCAUGUAAAGUUUUGGCGUCCACAAGUUCUCCUAUUGGUAAACAGUCCACGAUCAUCCUGUCCUCUCAUAGAUUUUGUCAACGAUCUCAAAAAGGGUGGCUUGUAUGUUAUAGGUCACGUUGAAACAGGAGAAAUGAGCGAAGAAGGCGUUGAUCCGACUUUAAAUCAGGCACCCCAUUGGUUGACGUUAGUUGAUCACCUCAAGGUAAAAGCUUUCAUUGAAUUAACUGUGGCCAAAACAGUUCGUGAGGGACUACAACAUUUGAUGAGACUAUCUGGUAUGGGAGCGAUGAAACCAAACACUGUAAUUCUUGGAUUUUUGGAUAAUGAAGAAUCUCAAGAUUUUUUGCGAAGUACUGACUCAAUUUAUCAAAAUCAUGACUUUGAAAACGACGUGUUCCCUCUCAAGACACAAAGUACGGUGCAACCUUUAGAAUAUGUCCAGAUGAUGCGAGAUGUGCUUAGGAUGAAUAAAAAUUUGUGCUUAUGUAGAAAUUUUGUUAGACUGAGAAAAGACGCAAGAAGUGUCAGAAACAAAAUGUAUAUCGACGUAUGGCCUGUCAACUUUUUAAAUCCAGGAGAAAACGACUCAUUUGACACUACGUCCCUGUUUAUGAUGCAACUGGCUUGUAUUGUCAACAUGGUACCAGUUUGGAAAAAAUUAAAACUAAGAAUAUGUAUUUGUGACGAAGCUCGGUCCAGCUAUUUUACAUCAUCCAUAUCACUAAGCCAUUCCGAACGACUGGAAACUCUCUUGAAAAAAUUGAGAAUCGAGGCAGAACUUUUCCGGGUAGAUGGUUGGAAGACAGUUCUUGAAUCGCACGGUACCGAAGAGGAACGAUACCCGAAGAGUGUCAAUACUUUAAUUCUUCAACAAACAGCAGAGACGGCUGUCACUUUCAUAUACCUUCCAGCACCGCCGACAGAUAAUACCAAACUGGUUUCUUUUUACAACAAUUUAGAAAUAUUUUCGAGAAAUCUGCCGCCCACCAUAUUCGUUCAUGGUGUCAGCACGGUGACGUCAACUACCUUAUAAUAGAGGGACAACAUUAGUAUUAGCAACGAAUGUAGACGCAUAUAGAAGGAUUCUUCACUGUCAUUUCUUAGUAAAGUAAGUCAGGAACAGUUGAGGAACUACCACUACGGAGUAUGCAUGUGAUCUCUCCUUCAUCACUGCGAACGCAGCAUCCCUAGCCUAGUGGUGAAGGGAAGAUUAGGUACGUGCGCACUUCGUAGUGGUGGUUCCCCAACUGUUCCCGACUUGAUUUACUAAAUAAUUACACUUUAAAAAAAAUUUCUACUACCACGUUUUUAUUAUUUCUAGUACAUAAUAUAAAAUUAUACACUACAGUGGAACCUCGAUAAGUCGGAUUAAUCGGGACCGCGGCCUAUCUGGGUUAUCAAAAAUCCGGGUUAGCCGGAGAAUAUGGUAAAAAUUAAUAAAAUUCAGUAUACUUAUAGAUAAACUCCAUUAUAAUUGCAAAAACAUGAAAUACAUAUAUGCACAGUACAUCUAAAUUAUGUACAGUUGUAUGCAGUAUUGUUCAUUUCUUGCUGAAAAACUGUCAAACUGAAAAAAUGUGUCUCUUGUCUGAUGAAAAUCAGUCUGGGUUAGCCUGACUUUCGGAAUUUUGUAAUCAAUUUUAAACUCAUAUAUCUAAAUAAAAGAAAAUGUUUAAAAUGGUAAAAAAUUAAUGAAACAUGUUUCGAUAGAAUAAUUGUGAUAUACCUUAAUAUACAGUCCGUCUAAUUUACUUAUCGUUGCACGUCAUUAUCUACGUUAGAGAUCUAAGUUGACAUUGUUGCCCAAUUACAAAAAAAUCUUGAAUUCAUUUUAAAACAAAUACAUUACAUAAUUUUUGCGGAAGUGGAUUAUACAGCAAAACAAAUUAAUAUUCAAUGUAAAUAAAUAAAAACUUGAGAAAUAGAAAACAAGAAUUAAAUUAUAAUCUUAGGUUAAAGUACAUAAUAAAAUAAGUAAAUAUAAUAAAACAAAUACUUAUAAUAAAGAAUAAAAACAAAUAUAUGAAGUGUCAUCACCGCAACUGUCAAAUAAAUGUUACCAAUUUAUGCCAAAAUAUCACCUUCGUUCGAUUACAGUUACAGUAUGUUCUGAACAAAUGUGUUUCAUAAAAACGCUUUAUAAUCCGUUUAUACAAAUUAAAUGAAACAUACUAUUGUGUAUUUCUUUAAGUUAACAGUAAUAGAAAUCUGUAAAUAUUAUUUCUACGCGUACAUAAUAAAAUAUGUCUAGUGGCUGUAAUUCCAGUGUACUCGGCAAAAUGAUUCUAAAAAAGAACACAUCUACCGCCUAAAUAUUUCGUGUUGGUAUCAUGUGACGUCACGGGCUAUGACGCGGAUGACGUGCAACGGUAAGUAAAUUAGUCGGAGUAUAGCUAAUAUUAUAUUAUUAACUUAAUAUGAAUUUUUAUUAUAAUAACUUUUAAUUAUUUAUUAAAAAAAUAAAAAAAAUAUGAAAAACCCGGGUUUGAACCUUGGACCUCUUUGCAGUCCAAUGCUCUACCACUGACCUAUAAUAUCCGCUAUGGACUAAUGUACUUUACAACGGGAUCUAAAUGGCAUUGCAUUAUUUGCAUUUAAAAUUGCUUUAAAUUCAAAAUAAAAGUCAAUGUAUCUAGAUUUACAGGUGUUGAAUAUUGCAUUAUCAUCGAGUUCUGAGCUAUUCUGAAAAUUUCAGAUGUCUAGCUAGUGGAGAAGUAUGUUUAAAAUCGAUCACAAGAUUUCCCAGACACCGUGACAAAAAGACUGACAUUUUAAAAAUGACAUUGAAGAAAUUGUUCUACAUGCGUCUAUAUUCGUUGGUAUUAUAUUAGAUUUAUUUGAUAUUUUAGGUAAUGACAAUUUACGAUCUUUUAUUAUUUGAGAUUUUUUAAAUAUCAGCGACUUUACGGAUAUCAACAACACUGUUUAGAAUAAAGUAAAAAAUGCUGAAGUGUCAAAUGAAUUAUAAGGAGCCAUCGAACAAAAAAUCGUAAUUAAGUGCGUGGCAUUUAUGUCAUUAUCAUUGUCAAUAUAAACGUUGCUUAUAAAAAGAUUGUCUACUCAGUUCGCUCAUCUCAGAUCUAACGUAAAUUCUCGUAAAUUUAGUAAUUCAUUCGUUCCUUUGUUUUCUGGUGUAGCACUAUGUAAUCUUAUAAAACCCUAAUACGACAAGUCACGCAGUCUGUCCGGUGCGGUUUCGAUAUGUUGACAUUAAAUGACGUUUAAUAAUCGUUAUUUUAUUUUGUUAUAUCUUUUUUAUAACAGCUCCAGAAUGACUGAAUCGAAUUAGCUAAUUUCGAUUUUAAACCAUUUGUAGAAGUAUAAGGAAAGUUUAAAAGGUGAGAAAAUGUGAUGAAGUUGUAAAGAAAAUACUAAAAACAACAAUUUUAUUGUCAUAUAUACACAAUUAUAUUAUACUCCUUUAGAUUUACGCAACAUAAAACUGCGGCUAACUUAGGAUAUAUUUACUUUUUCACGUUUCCCGCAAAAUCCAUGUUUUUGGCACUUUGUUUGAUCUUAAUAUGGUAUUUAGAAUUGUUUCAUUAAAUGUAUAAUUAUUACAAUGUAUUGCAUUAACGCACAAACUUGAAUUUUCAACUUUAUCGCAAAAAAAUGUUGAAAAAUAGUUUUUAUUAUUUUAAGUAAACAAUGUAUUAAAAUUAUUUUUAAUUAUAAACAUAUUUUCUGUAUAUUAAUUUUCGAUAUUUUCAAAAAUAGAGAUAUUCUUAAGCAACUAUCACAUUUUUUACAUACUUCCUAUACAACUAAUAAAAUUUGAUAUCUGAUGAGAUUGUAAAGAUUUUCUUCCUUAGACUUCUACAAAUAUUUCAAAAUCAAAAGUAGCCAAAUCGAUCCAGUCCUUCUCGAGUUGUAAAAUAAAAACAAUAUAAAAAUAAGAGUCAGAAGAAAAUGGACGGUAUCAGAAAAAAUUGAAGGAAUCAGAAAAAAGUAAUUUUAGAAACUAAACCUGAAUUGUUAUAACCGAAACUUAAAGGUUAACUAGACUAGAACGUUCCUUUGCUUAGUGACAGCCAUGAUUGUCGUUUGACACUAGCCAGUGUAGCCAACACCCAAAUACACUUGACAGUGCUACACUAAAAAAUAAAGGAACACAUUUUUUACUCGAUAAUUAAAUUGUAGCCAACAGGCAGUGACUGGAAAUUACUAUAUUGUCCUUCUCAUAGGCAUUUUUUGUUCAUUCAAAAGGUGGCAAAGGUAAGUCCGUGAUUUAUAACAUUUAUUCUAACAUGACAUUUUAGUUAAAUCUGACAGUUGUCAAAUUUUAUUUGCAAUUUGGCAUAAAAACAAAUCAAUUGUGUUAAUUGCAUUUAUAAAAUGGUAUUUUCUUUGAUUUGUAUAGUCUUAUAAAUUGUACAGAUUAUAUUCGUAGAUAUAUUAUAUAAUUCAUAAAUAAUUUUUUUUCGAUUAUAGCGCCAUCUAUCGACAACUGGAAUAAAUGUUAUAAAUGUCUGUAAUCACGUACGUGCCUUUUUUCUGUCACUUACAACUUAAUGCGUUAGAAAGAAAUCGAAAAACUGACACACUGAAAGAUACCCAUGAGAAAAAGCAUACAACCAAGCAUACAUGCUCAUAUCUCAUAUUUAAAUAAAAUAAUUUUCACAUACAGUUUAUUAACAAAAUAAAACUCCAUCAGUUAAAACAAAAAUUUAUUUUGAAAUUUUACUGUCUUUUAUGGAUUAAAAAUAACAAAUGGAAAGUUUUUAAUGAAAAUUAAUGAAUACACACCCCCAUUAUUAAUCAUUCUUCUUCAAUAUUAAGAGAUUGGAUUUUUUCUAUAUUGUGUGUUUUUGGCAAUGAAUCUGUCAAAAUAUUUCCAAGCUGAGCGAACGGACUAUAUUUAAUUUUUUAUUAAAAACUGGUAAACAAAUAAGUUCAAUUAUGUAUAUGUCAGUCUGUACCGCGUUUUUUAUUCCAUAUACCACUCUAAUUACGUCGUUUUGUGAUGGUUCUAUAGAUAUUAGAUAUACCUUAUUUACUUUGAAUAGAUUGUAGAGAUUAAGCUCGGGUCUCAUAUUAUGGAAGGAUUAUUCAUGACACAAAGAAUAGCCAGAUGCGAACAUUUAUGUCCCAAUUUAUCCAAAAUAUGUGUUAACGAGUUUUAAAUAGGAUAUUUUGUACAACAUUAUAGUUGUCAAUAUAUUCUAAAAAAAUAAAUACUUUUUUUUCUCUAUUUAGAUACGUGAAAUCAACAAGAUUUGUAAAGUUUUGUUGUUGAAUAUAUUGUUUGCAAGUAUUAAGGUACGUAUCCAUACAAGGGUGAUCCGCGCUUGGUGUACCAGCUCCACAUAGUGAAUACGUUGGUGAUCGCCGCUCGGCGCUCACCCUCUUCGAUUCAACCGGUUUGUGGUUUAUAUGUAGGGGAGCGCAUGCCGUAUCCAUUUAAGCAGCUACACCGAGCGCGGAUCACUCUUGUAUGGAUACGUACCUUUAUAUGUCUUCGUCUAUUGUUAUUAAAUAAGGUAUAUAUUGAAUGUCAUUAAAACGUGAUAAAAGUAUUAUGAGCCAAAAUGUUAAAAGAUUAAUUGGUUAAAUCUGACAUUUAAGUUUAAAAGUUUAUAGUUUAAGUUUUAAAAUAGUUGGUUAUAAUGUAGUAGCGACAUUGGCAAUUUAAAGUACAGUUGAGUCCGCGAGUCUUUACCCGUGCGUCAUUAAUACCUGGUGAGAUAAAACAUACUUUUUAUUUAGCAUCAUUCUCUUCCACGCAUGAAAUUAAUGACAAACCAGCUGCCGCCUGUUAAUUAAGUAAAAACACAUGUUAUUUUUAUGAACGAUUUAAACUCAGUGUAUUGAAAAGAGAUAGGUACAAAGAAAGAUGAUUGGGGAUGUCUUCACAUAUUUUAAGUACAAUUUCUGACGUUUUGGUUUGUUUACUUUUGUGGUUGUCAGUUUGUUGAAUUUUUUGCUGUUGUUUUGUCGAAUUUUUGCAUUUUGAAGUUUUUUAUAGUAUACAAACAGUUGUUUUCACAACUAAUUUUAUAUUGGAGUUAGAAAUUUUGUGAUAAGUUUAUGUUAUUUUAAGAUAAAUUUUGACGACGUACAAAGCUAACCUCAUUGUUCACACAGUUGAAUUCUUGUGUUUAAGGUUCCGCCAAAGUGAAUAAAAUAUAAAAAAAUAAAACAUGUUAUUUAUUUUUUUUAUAAAUUGUUUAUUUAUUUAUUAAUCAAUGAUAAUAAAAUAAUUUAUUAAGCUACUUCAAAUGUAGCUGUAAUUAUUCACCAAAAUUUUAAAGCAAAACUUAAAUUUGACAUUCUAUUUAUUUGAUAACGUCAAAUUUUAUAAUAACCCGUGAUCGGAAUAAUAUCCAUUUGCCGUUGCGUUUAGUAAAUUUCCGACUUAUUUCGUAUGCUUUAAAUGAUGACGCACGGGUAAAGAUUCGCGGACUCAACUGUAUUUGAUGACUAAAAAAACUGUACUUCAUAUAGAGCAUUCCAACAUGCUGUCAAAAUUAAAUCAAUAUGGCGACUGGGAGGCAAACAUAAGUGUUAUUAUAUCAAUUCUUAAUGUAUUUUAGAUCAUUUUAGUUGCGUUUCGUUGUAAUUUUGUUUUGUACAAGGAUUAAUUCAACAUUUUCACUCGAAGAAUUAAUUUAAAAAGAUAAUAUGCAUCAUUUUUGUUGUGUUUUGAAGUAUGGAAUGCGAAGUAAUCAUGAUAAUGUUCAUUUCGGUUACCAUCAGUGCUACAUUUUAAGCAUAAAACAACUAAAUAAGUCAUCAUCUGAGAGACAAAAACAAUGGUUAAAUAUGCUAUAAAACGUCCUAUGAAAAUGGUAAAUAACUAACUAUGUCCAUGUUACUUACGCUUGGAAAACCGUAUCCACCGUAGGUUAACUCAGAUCCUUGAGGGAAAAUGGAGCUAUAUUAUUUAUUUUGCUUGUACCUACUAGCAACAUCUGUAUUGUCUGCCAACAAUAUUCGAAAAUAUUCACUCCUGUUUAUUUAUUCACCGCUUAAAACUAAAUAAAGUCGUUCAAGUACUUCUGCAACUAAAAACUACACAAAAUCAACAACAAAAUGUUCAGAAAAUACAACUAAAAAACUGUGUAAAAAACGGUAAAAAACUUAAGAAACAAUGUUUGACAGUUUGACUCCCAGCGGUUUCAUAAAUGUCAAAGUCUUGGAGUGUCCUAUUAGAGUAACUUUAAUGGGUAAUGUCAUUUACCAUUAUCAUCGCAUUCAAAUAAUGCUCCUAACCGUAAGAAUGAAUGCAAAAUUUAAAAUAGCAUGUGAUUAAUUCCACGGCAAGUGUGGUAAAUUAGGAAUCCGACCCAAUUAGUUUUCUCAUAUUUUUCACAUUCACUAUUAUUCCAUAGGAUUAAAAUUUGUUGAAUUUGUUUUUAAAACAACUUUGCUUUGAAGUGUGUUAGAAAAAUUCUGAGAAGUAUAUUCUAUGAAACUCUCCCGACAAACGAGGACCGCAGAUUCUUCAGAUAAUUUUAAGACAAUUCAACCCAAUUCACCUAGUCCGAAAAUGCUUCCUAAGGGAGCUAGAGCUCUUUGAAGAUGGCGUCUUGGAAUUAGUUUUUCUUAAAUCUCUCCAGAACGCUUUUAUUUAGAAAAACGAAAAGAUAAAUAGGUACGCCUAUUUAUCUUCUAGAGAUAAAUCGAUUACAUCACUUCCGAGUUUCUAGUACCGGUCAUAGGCGCCUGUUUUGGGUAGGGCAACGGUUAUUUUAUCGUAUAACUUUUUUGUCUUUAACUUUUAAGCAUUUUUGAAACCGGAUUAUUAAAUUGUGAGGUUUCUAGUACCAAAAGGUACUCUUGCUUUAAGUCGGUAGGAUGCACCGUUUUCUAGAAAAAUCCAUUUGAAAAUUUUUCGUUUGCUGAAUUUGAAAAAAAAAUUUCAAAAAAAAGCUAUUCAGAAAAACAAAAACUAGUAUGUUUAUGUAUCUUUCAGAGAUAAAUCGAUUUCCUCAGUCGAGAAAUUCUAAUACCUGUCAUAUGCGUCCGUUUUGGGUAGGUCAACGGUUAUUUUAUCGCAUAGCUUUUUUGUCUGUAAUUUUUAAUCAUUUUUGACACUUGAUGAUUAAAAAAUGAAUUAUUCUAGUACUCAAAGUUACUCUUGCUUUAAGUCGGUAAAAUACACCUUGUUUUUUGAAAAAAAAUUUCAAAUUCAGUAAACGAAAAAUUUUCAAAUCGAUUUUUCUAUAAAACACUGCAUCCUACCGACUUAAAACAAGAGUACCUGUUGGUACUAGAAUACCUCAAAAUUUAAUAAUCCAGUGUCAAAAAUGCUUAGAAAUUAAAGACAAAAAAGUUAUACGAUAAAAUAACCGUUGCCCUACCCAAAACGGACGCCUAUGACCGGUACUAGAAACUCGUAAUUGAUGUAAUCGAUUUAUCUCUAGAAGAUAAAUAGGCGUACCAGUUUUCGUUUUUAUAAAUAGAAGCGUUCUGGAGAUAUUUAAGAAAAACUAAUUCCAAGACGCCAUCUUCAAAGAGCUCUAGCUCCCUUAGGAAGCAGUUUCGGACUAGGUGAAUUGGGUUAAAUUAUCUUAAAAUUAUCUGAAAAAUCUCCUGUAUUCGUUUGUCGGGAGAGUUUCUGGACACCCUGUAUAUGUAAAAUUUCCUUCUUAGCAGAAGGAUAUUUGUAGGAUACGUAGAGGUUUGAAUUUGUUCAAAAAUUUAGCUCAAAACUCCCUUUACAAGUGUUAUCAACGCGCAUUCAGAUGCUCCCAAAGACGAAAUUACACGGUUUUACUUUUGCCUUUCAAUAUGUGUUGAAUAAUUCACUUUCCAGAUACCGUGUAAAUAGCAUUGCUUUCAUUUCUGCUCCAUUCAACAAAAGUAAUUCAAUUCGGUUGAACCGUGUAAUUGCGCCUUAACCGUAAGAAUUAAUGCAAAAAGAAAAAUUUGUCUUCUUCUCGCUUUCCUUAUGACCUAUAAGACUGUCGAAUCUUGUUGGCAUCUAUGCAUCUUUUACUCAUUUCUUCUAAGCCUCCCGGUCUUCUGCUGUUUCCUUCAUCUGUUGCAUUGUUUUCCCUCUGUUGUUUCCGAUUUUCUGGAUUUGUUUCAUCUACCAUUUUCUAGAUCCUACCUCUUCUUCUUCAUUGUAUUUGGCCUCUGUCACUUUCUUAACUAGUCUGUUCUCACCCAUUUUAAUUAUGGUUCCAUACUAGUUCAGUUUUCGUUUAUUGGCCUGUCUAGCCUUGUCUUCCCAGCUAUCUUUCUCAGUUGCUUCAUUUCUGCUGCAUUUUUUGUACUUUCGUCUUUUUUUGUAACCAGUGUUUGCAUGAUUGCGUUAUACUUUUCUCAUUAAGAAUUGUCCACAUAGUAACUGGAGAAAUCUUAGCACAAAAUACGAAGAUUUAACCUAAUACAACUAACAAUAAAAUGUGGCUCCUUAGUGAGUUUCAGCGUAUUUUAUUUAAAAAUUUAAAUACUAUUUGUACCCAGUACUUUAAAACCAUUUGACAUAUCCUGAUCAUACUUGCAGCUAGUGGAUGUACUGUAUAUCCUACUAAAUUAUAUUAAACAAACGUUUCUGGCUACUACCAGAGGCGUACGACCAUUGCGAAUGGUUGACCCUUCCCAAAUUCUACGCCACUGACGGAAUUGCUAUUUUAGUGCAAUUUUUGGAUUCUCCAAUACUUCCUAUGUAAAUAACAUACUCUUCAUUCGUAACGAUAAAUUUAUUAGUUUUCGAGAUAUUUGAAGUUAAAAAUAAAAAGGCGCAGUUAUUGUGAUUAAUGUAUUAUGCCCCUUACCAAGUUUAAGUUAUAAAUUCCAAUAAACUCAGCAAAUACGCUAAUGUCACUGUCAUUGAAAAUGAUAAACGUCAAAAUUCAUAGUUAACAGGGUAUAGACCCAUUGUUACAGUUAAAAAUCCUUUAAAAAUUUUUCGAAGUUAAAAUUAUUGAUAUAAAGUACAUUAAUUCUUGUAUUAAGAGGAAACAGUAGCGAUCAACAGGUAGCGAAAACGCGUUCCAAGAUUGCGGCUGUAAUUUUGAAUAUUUUUUCGAGAUAUUUGGCACACGUAUUCGUAAUAUAAUAAAGAAUGGCGGUACAGUGCCAAAUAUCGCGAAAAAACAUUCGAAAUUACAGCCGCAAUCUUGGAACGCGUUUUGCUACCUGUUGAUCGCUGCUGCAUCACCUUAAAUAAACAAGUUUAAGUAAUUUUAUUUGCAGUUUAUAUACGACUAAUAUCAAAAGUGGCAUGCACCACUUGAACCUAACUUCAGCCCGUGAGUAAUGCAUUAUUACUCACGGGUAAAGUAAUGGGUGUUAUUAUCUAUUCAAAAAUAGUGAAUAAUGAACAUGUUAUUAAACGGUCGUAAAGAAAUGUAUUCUUGUAACGCAUUUAAAGUACAGUUGUGCUAAAACUCAAUUUCACACUAUUUGAAUCUCCGAUUUUGAUGAAAUGAUUUAAUUUAUUUUGUUUGUGAUCAAGUUUAAGUGCAUACAUUUUCGGGUUCCUCAAUUUGUUCACUUAGGCAGGAAAUAUACUUGUUUCUAAAUGAAUAAAAGGGUUAUAUACAUGACCUAUUUAUAAGUAGUACGUAGGCAAUUAUUUUAAUGUAAAGCGUAACAUAUCAUUAAUAUAUAUUCGCCAUGUGUGUCACGUCAUACCCAUAGAGAUAAAUAUGAAUAGACAGCAUGUCUUGGUAUUUAUAUGGCCGGUUACACUGAUUUUUCUGAUGACUGACUCAAGAACUAGGUUGAAUAGCAUGGUUGAUAGAGCCUCUCCCUAUCUGACCCCCAUGUUGAUGUCAAACAGGGGGUCAGUUCUCCAUCUACUCUGACUGCUGCUUUUGAACCCUGCACCGUAAUUUUUAUGAGGCGGAUAUAUUUAUUAGGUAUACCUAGAUUAUGAAGGUCGUCCAGCAUUUUGUCUCUUUUCAAACUGUCAAAAGCUUGUUUAAAGUCUAUAUACAUAUUAUCUAGUUCUAUGUCGUAUUCAUAUGCUUUUUCUUGUAUCGCUCUUAGUAUGAAUAUAUUAUCUGUAGUGGCUCUAUUUGGUCUGAAUCCAUUUUGAUAAUCACCAAUUAUAUUUUCGGAGUAUUCUGACAAUCGAUUGUAAAAAUUAUACCAGAAAGAAUUUUGUAUAUUACAUUUAGCAAUGAAUUCUGGCAUUCUCUUAUCUCCUUUUUUUAUACAGGGUGUCCAGAAACUCUCCCGACAAACGAAGACCGGAGAUUCUUCAGAUAAUUUUAAGACAAUUUAACCCAAUUCACCUAGUCCGAAAAUGCUUCUUGAGGAAGCUAGAGCUCUUUGAAGAGUUUGGAAUUUGGAAUUAGUUUUUCUUAAGUAUCUCCAGAACACUGUUAUUUAGAAAAACGAAAACUGGUACGCUUAUUGAUGUUCUAGAGAUACAUCUAUUACAUUAAUUACGAAUUUCUAGUACAGGUCAUAGGCGCCCCUUUUGGGUAGGGCAACUGGUAUUUUAUCGCAUAACUUUUUUGUCUUUAACGUCUAAGCAUUUUUGACACUGGAUUAUUAAAUUGUGAGGUAUUCUAGUACCAAAAGGUACUCUUACUUUAAGGCGGUAGGAUGCACCGUUUUCUAGAAAAAUCGAUUUGGAAAUUUUUCGUUUAUUGAAUUUGAAAAAAAAAAAAUUUCAAAAAAAGACAGUGUAUUUUACCGUCUUAAAGCAAGAGUAGCUUUUAGUACAAGAAUACCUCAUAAUUUUAUCAUCAAGUGUCAAAGAAGGUUAAAAAUUAAAGAUAAAAAAGUUAUGCGAUAAAAUAACCGUUGACCUACCCAAAACGGACGCAUAUGACCGGUACUAGAAUUUCGCACUAAUGAAAUCGAUUUAUCUCUGGAUGAUAAAUAAACGUACCCGUUUUCGUUUUUCUAAAUAGUUUUUUUUUUAAUUUUUUUUUCUAGUUCAACAAACGAAAAAUUUUCAAGUCGAAAUUUCUAGAAAACGGUGCAUCCUACCGACUUAAAUCAAGAGUACCUUUUAGUACUACAAUACCUUACAAUUUAAUAAUCCAAUAUAAAAAAUGCUUGGAAGUUAAAGGUAAAAAAGUUAUACGAUAAAAUAACCGUUGCCCUUCCCAGAACGGGCGCCUAUGACCUGUACUAGAAAUCCGUAAUUAAUGUAAUUGAUUUAUCUCUGGUAAGAUAAAUAAGUGUACCAGUUUUUGUUUUUCUAAAUAGAUGCGUUCCGGAGAUAUUUAAGAAAAACUAAUUCCAAGACGCCAUCUUCAAAGAGAUCUAUCUCCCUUAAGAAGCAUUUUCGGACUAGGUGAAUUGGGUUAAAAUGUCUUAAAAUUAUCUGAGGAAUCUUCUGUCUUCGUUUUUCGGUAGAGUUUCUCGACACCCUGUAUAUUGGCUGUAUAAGGUCAACUGUCCAUUCCUCCGGCAUUUGCUCCUUGGUCCAUAUUAAUGUUAUUACACUUGAGUCCACGAGUCUUUACCCUUGCGUCAUUAAUACCUGGCGAGAUAAAACACAUACUUUUUAUUCUAAGAGCAUCAUUCUCUUCCACGCAUGAAAACACAUGUUAUUUUUAUGAACGAUCUAGACUAAAAAAAAGACUAUUGGGGAUGUUUUCACAUAUUUUAAGUACAAUUUCUGACGUUUUGGUUUGUUUACUUUGUAACUGUCGGUUUGUUGAAUUUUCUGCUGUUAUUUUGUCGAAUUUUUGCAUUUUGAAGUUUUUUAUAGUAUACAGUUCUUUUCACAACUAAUUUUAUAAGUUUAUGUUAUUUUACGAUUAAUUUUGACCACGUACAAACUUACCUCAUUGACGCAGUUAAGGAAUGCUUGUGUUUAAUGUUCCUCCAAAGUGAAUAAAAUAACAAAAAGAAAAUAUGUUAUUUAUUUUUUUUAUAAAUUGUUUAUUUAUUUAUUAAUCAAUGAUAAUAAAAGUAUUUAUUAAGCUACUUCAAAUGUAGCUGUAAUUAUGCACCAAAAUUUCAAAGCAAAACUUAAAUUUGACAUUCUAUUUAUUUGAUAACGUCAAAUUUUAUACUAUAACCCGUGAUCGGAGUAAUACCCACUUUCUGUCACUUGCUGUUGAGUUUAGUAAAUUUCUGACUUAUUUCUUAUCCUUAAAAACGGGUAAAGACUCGUGGACUCGUAGGUAAUGAAUUCUUCCCCAGAGUUCAGAUCCUCCAUGUUUUAGUAAUUCUGCUGAAAUUCUGUCCGCUCCUGGCAUUUUAUUGUUUUUUACUUUCUUUAUUAUUUGAACUACUUCAUAAUUCACAUUUUCAAUGUACUGUUCCGCCGUAUAAUACCGGGUGUCCACUUAUAUUUUCCCCCAUUUUAACUGCCUAUAACUUCUAAACGGCUUAAGAUAGAAAUAUGCGGUUUUCGAUGAAAUGUUUUAUUUUAGUAAAAGUUUUGUCUGAAUGGAUUGAAUUUUUUAUAUCGCUUUCAAAUACGAAAAGAAAAAUGGCGGAUUUUUGAAAAAAAGUUGUUGACUUUUUUUUAAUGGAAUACCCAGUAUAUUUUUUGUAAAUUGAAAGAAAGGUCAUUCACCUAUCCAGCGAUAUAAAGUUUUUCAAAAUCGGUUGUCAAAUCACUGAGUAAUUAAUUUUUAAAAUGAGCGGUGCAACAUAGCCAUAUCACAUAUCUAAAUAACAUAACUAAGCAAAAAAUGGUAUUAUGUUAUGUGAUUUGUAUUUGAAAGCGAUAUAAAAAAUUCAGUCCAUUCAGACAAAACUUUUACUAAAAUAAAACAUUUCAGCGAAAACCGCAUAUUUCUAUCUUGAGUCGUUUAGAAGUUAUAGGCAGUUAAAAUGGGGGAAAAUAUAAGUGGACACCCGGUAUAUUGUCUCGGUUUGAUCAUUUUCGUUUUCUGCAUUUAGGUUUUCUUCGACGUAUUCUUUCCAUCUCGUUAUAAUUGUUUGCUUCUCUGUUAGCUCCUUGUCGCUAAGUCUGCUGCGAUGUUCCUUGCUAACACUUAAGGGGAAAGGCGCAAACUGUCGCCUGUCAAAAUUUUCAAUGUGUAAUUACAAAAUGUAUUCAUUUUUUCGAAUCCUGAGAAAUCUAUUAUACGUAUUUUUGAAAAAUUUAAAACGCAGAAUGAAAGAUUACGUUAUUACCGAGGGCCGAAAAUCCCUUACAAUAAAUAAAAAGUUUCUUUUGAAUGAAGUAUUUGUAAUUAUAGGCAAAUUAAUGGUACCUGCUAAUGUUAAUGCGGUAUUUUCAGGAAUAUUAAUAUUUUUCAUAUUGCAUCAUUUGUAAACCUUGUAAAUCAUGUUUCAUCUCCUGCAUGUUUUCCAUCUUUGUUCAUAGCAUAGCUUUCAUUUUUCUUGUAUUCUCUUAGACACGUUCACAUACAGUUAUUCCAAUGGAUCUUUGCACAAACGUAAUGAUUUGCAAACAAGUUAAAUCAAAACAUUAGGUGCAACGUACGUCGGCAUGUACUGUCAAUGCAAUAAUUAGGAAAUGGGUAUUAUGGCGGUGGAGGUAUUUUUUAAAGUUAUUUUAUUAAAGUGUUUGAUCUUUUUUCACUAUUGAAGAGAUUGAUGGACUCAACAUUAAAUAGCUUGAUCAUUAUUCGCGGUGUGCAAGUACUUGGAAGAGAUACGCGAAAAUAUCGUGCGCGAAUAGCGGAGAAAAAUUGCAACUUUCUUAAAUAAUUCAUAUUGUCAAUUGAAAUUGUCAAAUUGACGUACAUUUCAUACCUAUUGUCAUUUAAGAAGAAAAAUGAUAUAUUGCUCCACAAUAUUGAUAUGAUAUGCAAUUAUUAUAUAAAGGUAAAUUUAAUUAAUUGUAUUUUGCUUGCAGUACUGCAUUUUAAUAACUAAUUUUAUUUACUACAUACAAUUAUUUACGUUUUAAUAACAUAACCUAAAUCUUAUUUUUUCUUCUUAUUAUUUUUUUUGGACUAUGGCCUUGACAAUUUUCCAGUAACCAGGACCAUAUGAUUGGCCAAUAUAAUUAAAAGUGCGAAUAAAAGUGCAGAGCGUAGAAACCAGAUGUCGCUUUUCCGAACUUGCACGGUCCCAAUACCGACUAUUACUAAUGUAAAAAUAAAUAUAAAACGGUAAUAAAUACAAAACAAAAACAAAAAGUCAAAAAAUAAUCUUGAAAAUAAACCAAUGUUUCUGUUCGACAGAACUAUAGCCAGACUCAUGUAUGUAGUAGUAGUAUAAUGACAAUUUAUUUGUAGGUUAGAAAAUAAUAUAAUUAAUUACUGUUAUAAUAAUUAAUUAUUAUAAUAUUUUCUUUAUUUUCGUUACUUGAACUUAAAAAUAAGUAAUUACCGGAAGUAAUCAAAUAAGAUAGCAACAGUUAGUUAUUCCAAAUACUACAGACUGCAAUACAUACAACUCUUGACAUUUCCCAUUAAUUUUGAGGGAGCAAAAAAAUAGCGCCAUCUAGCGGUAUGAGUAGGAUAACCAGAGCAAUCUAACCUUACAUUUAUAAAAUUGCUUUAUUAUUGUUUUUGUAUAAGUGUUUGAACUAUUUUUAUUUUAAUUUAAUUUAGCAAAAUUAGCUCGUUAUUCAAAAAUUUAUAAAAUUAAAUUUGAUUUUUUACGUCAAAUUUUACGUUGUCAAAACGUAGUUCAACUCAAGCCGACAGUGGCGAUAGUGGCAACAUGCUUUCAGAUUUCUGUGGGAAUUGGAUCAAGUACUAUUGACUGUAAUACAUACAACUCUGUACAUUUCCCAUUACAUUUGAGGAAGCAAACAAUAUAGCGCCAUCUAGUGGUGUGCGGUGAUAACCAGAGCAAUCUAACCUUACAUUUAUAAAGUUGCUUUAUUAUUGUUUUUGUAUAAGUGUUUGAACUAUUUGUAUUUAAUUUAGCAAAAUUAGCUCGUUAUUCAGAAAUUUAUAAAAUUAAAUUUGAAUGUUUACGUCAAAUUUUACAUUUUCCACUGUCGGCUUGCGGUGAAACUACGUUGUGACACCGUAAAAUUUGACGUAAACAUUCAAAUUUAAUUUUAUAAAUUUUUUAAUAACGGGCUAAUUUUGCAAAAUUAAAUUAAAAUAAAAAUAGUUCAAACACUUAUACAAAAACAAUAAUAAAGCAAUUUUAUAAAUGUAAGGUUAGAUUGCUCUGGUUAUCACCGCGGACCACUAGAUGGCGCUAUUUCUUUGCUUCCUCAAAUGCAAUGGGAAAUGUCAAGAGUGUAUGUAUUACAGUCAAUAGUAUUUGGUUGGAUGUAUUACAGUAAAUAGUAUUUGGUUAUUCUAACAAUUAUGUUUGAAAAUAAAAAUUACAAUGAAAUGUACAAAUACUAACAGUUUAAAAAAAUAAUAUGAACAACCAAAAUACAACAAAUACGUCAAUGUCACUGAAAAUGAUAAACGUCAAAAUUCUUAGUAAAUAAUGUAUUAAAGACGUAUGUAAUGUAUCGCUAUCCUUGUUUAAUUUAUUGUGGUUUCUAUGGACAAGCGGCUUAAUUUUGCGAUACUAGUUUCUGUGAGUAAAAAAGAGACCUAGUAUAAAAAGUAAUUCAGUGAACAAUUUCAUGCAUGUGCAUUCAGAAUCAUUGGAACAACUGUACGUAUAAAUGGUUUUAGUCAAAACUUAAUAUUUUCUAUAAAUAAGUCUUUAGCUACCUAAUUAAAGUUAAUGUUAGUUAUGAACUGAUAUAGCUGAAUUAAGAAUAUAUAAAUGAAGAAACUUAUGUAAUAUUUUUGACACUAGAUAUAUAGAUUAUAGAUUAUUUUUAUCGAUUGGUGUGAUAUAAAAUUCAAAUAUUGUUAUUUAAAAACUAUUCUGCUAGUUAAGCGAUUGUCGAUAAGCAAUUGUUAAUACAGGGUAAAUCUUAAAAUUAAAAGUCCCAUAGUGAAAUGAUAAAUGUUUGUAUUUUAGCUGUUUCACCGUAAUUUCAACGGAGCGUGUUGAGGCGCGCUUCACCAGUAUACUAAUUUAAACGUCCUCAAAAAGAAAUGGCCAAUAUACAGUGUGUCGCAUUUAAGAUGAAGACGCCUAUAUUUCGACUAGCAAAAUAAAUACAGAUAUGAAAUUUUGCACAGUUAUACAGGUUGAUGGUUUACAUUUUUAAGAUAGUUAACUAAAAUUUAAAUUUUAAACGCGGCCUACUGCGAAUUCACACAUUGGUUGAAUUUUCGAUAUUUUUCUUCGCAUUGGAGAUAUCUGAAAAAGUUAUUUGGAAAAGAUAAAGGCAGUUUUUGUUUUUAUUUGAUUCAGAGUUGGACCACCAUCUCCAUAUAGCCUAUUUCAGCAUCCCAUGCAUCCUCAGUGAAGCUAUGUGAUCACAAAUCUGAAAGAAAUAUCAACAAUCCUGCCUGUUAAAGGGAAACCAUCGCGAUGCAAUGAUUACACCUUUUGAGACGCAAUCCAGUGACAUCUCCCGCAAUGCGAGGAAAACAACGAAAAGCCCUAGAUACACACUUUACUACUUUUUAAACAAUUAGAAUAAUUGAAAUAAAAAUAUAAUAAACAAUAUUUUAAAUCUAAGACUUUUCGUUAAUAAACUGCUUUCUGGCUGCAUCCUGUACCUCCGGCUUUUACAAUAUAUAAGCACAAGAGACGACGAAAUUAGGAGAAAGCAAAUAGAGGACACUUUGGCCACGCAUUUGCCUUCUCUUCGUCAAGGAAAAAGGACCGAUAGACAGUUUCUAUAUACUGAAAUCUGAGUAAAGAUGAAAAAGAUAAAGGCAGUUUUUGUUUUUAUGUGAUUCAGAGUUGGACCGCCAUCUCCAUAUAGCCUAUUUCAGCAUCCCAUGCAUCCUCAGUGAAGCUAUGUGGUCACAACUCUGAAAGCAAUAUCAACAAUCCUGCCUAUUUAAGGGAAACCAUGGCGAUGCAAUGAUUACACCUUUUGAGACGCAAUCCAGCGUCAUCUCUCGCAAUGCGAGGAAAACAACGAAAAGCCCUAGAUACAAAGUUUACUACUUUUUAAACAAUUAGAAUAAUUGAAAUAAAAAUAUAAUAAACAAUAUUUUAAAUCUAAGACUUUUCGUUAAUAAACUGCUUUCUGGCUGCAUCCUGUAUCUCCGGCUUUUACAAUAUAUAAGCACAAGAGACGACGAAAUUAGGAGAAAGCAAAUAGAGUUAAAGUUCCAAAUAUCAUUAUAUCUCCACAUACCGAAUUUCAUGACAAAAUUCGCACUUUUAGUUUUUUUCGGUAUUUGUAGUCAGGAUCCUAAGGCGGAGUUGGAAGCAAUCAUUCAAUACAUGACUGCGGUCGCCGCGAGCGAUUCAUCAAUUCUGAAUCGCUCCGUGGCAGGCUUUGACUCAAUUCGUCUCGGCCUGGUCGGUUUUCGCUAAGUCAGCACUUUAGCUUAAAUCAGUGAGUCUAUUGGAUCAAUACUCCUUAGACUCCGCUUGGCUCCAACUCAAUUCGUUGAAGCCCGGUUAGCCACUAAGCAAUUUCUAGUGGUCAGUGAAUUCCUGCCAGAUCAAUUCCCCAGCUGGAACUUACUAAUUUUCUGUUACUUCGACCUCUAUCUAUCUAUCUAUUGCCCUUCAUUUGUUUAAAGUUGAACGUAGGCGCCUCCCCCUUAUUUUUCCACUCUUCUCGGUUCAGUGCUAAUCCUGUCCAUUUGGUCCCUGCGUAUCUUUUUAGAUCAUCCGACGAUAUCAUCUGUGGUCUGCCAUUUCCUCUUUUAUGGUCCCAAGGUCUCCAGUGGGUUAUCGCUUUAUUCCAUCUUCCGUCUCUUUGUCUGCUGUUGUGUCCUACAAAUUUCUAUUCGAGAGAGGCUGCAUGUUUACUUACGUCUUUCACUUUGGUUUUAUUUUAUUUCUGAUCCAUGUAUUUUUUUAUCACUUAUCUUCAUAUCUAGUAUCUGCCUUUCCAUUGCUCUUUGAGUCUUGGCCAUAUUUUCCAUAUUUUCCUUUGUGAAGGUCCAUGUCUGUGCUCCAUAUGUAAGCACUGGUAAACUGAAAGUCAAACAAUUGGGAAUGCACGUCAUAGAUUUAAUGACAUCUUAACCCACCAGUACAAACUUGACGAAAACAAAUUCAACAAAUUUUCCUCAUAUAUUAGUUUUUUGGCUACCAUUAGGUUUAGCAGGACAUUGCUGUUACCGAAUAACAAACAUAUAUAGUCCGUCCGCUAUAACUUUUCCCAUGCGGUAUGAUUCAUUUUCAAUCAAAUUAAGUCAAAACAUAAAUUGAAACGAACGUCGAUGUGUAUAUACAUUUUGUAUACUGUAUACUAUAUACUACACACAUCGGCGUACGUUUCACUUUCUGUUUUGACUUAAUUUGAUUGAAAAUUAAUCGUACCGCAUGGGAAAAGUUAUAGCGGACGGACUAUAUGUAUGUGUAUUUACCAAAACAGCUACCGGCUACACUGUUUCUCUCUUUCUUUAAGAGUGUGAAACAAGAUAACUAUCUGUAAUAUAAGUGUCAAAGUCAUGUUGUAAUAUGGAAGGUUAUGUAAAAUUUUUGUUUGUUUAUUUUUUUUCUUUUCUUUUAUGACCUUUGGGAGCUGUGUCCAUUUAGCCAGCAACAUUUCUUAGAAUGAACGCCUAACUAAACCUACCAUACAACAAAACUAUUACGACCAAUCAAGAAUAGGGAAGGGAAAGGGUUAAAAAAUAAACUGUCGUUAAAAUAAACUAAAUAAAUAAAAUACAAUUUAAAAACAAUAAUUUGACAUUUUAUUUAACCUCCAAUAUUAUGAUAGACGUCAGUUACCAUUUACAGUACAUAUCUCUAAAUAUAAUAAUGACGUCAUAUAAACUCGUCACUAAUUCUACCCAAUGAAAUUCUCGCUGUAAUAGGAAUGGUAUGUCAGGCAUGUCAAAAAAAUCUGAUUAUUCUCUAUAAUAUAUAUUUUUUAAUUUAGAAAUGGUAACAAGGAGAAAAUUACGUGCAUCCCUUAUUGUUUGACUUUUCCCAUAGGACACAUUGAUCAUAUACCUUGGUGCGGAGGUAUUGGGCAUAUUUCUGGUUUUUCAGGAUAUAGCUCAUUUUUCAAAAACCACAAAAGCAAUAUAUAGCGGUAUUCUGUACUCAUUAACGCGUUCAAUGAGUAUUUUCAUUAUUGCAAGUAGUCUGUUGUGCUGUAUCCCAUUGUGCUGUACUUCCUAUCUCCUAGGUAUUCUGCUGUAUUCAUCGGUAGUGGUGGGAACUCUGGUGGAACGGCAUGUGUUCCACCAAACUUUUCAGAUGUACUAUUGGAUUUUUUCUUUCAAAUAACUAAGCUUUAUUUUUAAACCAAGAGGAGUAAACUAAAAAUACAGGUCCACACCUAAGAAAGUCGCUAGAAAUAUCAUCAAAUACAUCUUCUUUUUUGGUUGAUAAUAUCGGCCCUUGACGGUAAUCCAUAAAUAUAAUAUUAUACUAAUACGUCGCUAGUUAUAAAAACAGACUAAAAAUUUAAAAAUUAAAGGAAUAACACAGAAAUUAAAAAAAGUCGCUGAUAUAACUUAAUUAACCUACGAAAUGCCAAUAGUGUCAAAAUUUGAUAACAGUGGAGUAAACUUGCCUGAGGUUGGACCAAUUACAAACAAGCUUUGCGGCUUGGGAAAUUUGAAUUACUCCUCUUGGUUUAAAAACAGACUAUAGUACAGUUUAGGUGUAGAGUAUAGUAAAAUUUAGAAGUUACACCUCCUAAAAACUGUAUUCCACAGUUCCAUCAAUCUUAUUUCUGAUAAAACCCAUUUUAUUGCGGACUAUGCAUGUAUUCUGUUUUUUUUUUUUCGAUUGCACACUCAUUGAAUAAAAAUUACACAUCCUAUAUUAUAAUAUACAGUGCGCUGGAAUAAGUUUCACUCAUCCCUAUUAACUUAUUUAUUUUUAGCACGUAAGCAAAACGCUCGGACAGGUCGAUUUUUAAAAUAAUCAUAGUAUAUUAUAGAACAGCGGUUCUCAAUCUGUGGUACAUGUACCACUGGUGGUACAUAUCACUAUUUGAGGUGGUACACAAAACACACAAUAAAUUAAAAUAGUAGUACUUAGUAAGUUUUGGUAAUACAAUCUAAACAUAUAGGUGGUACCAAAAAUAAUAAAAGAACUGUAGGUGGUACAUGACUCAAAAAGUUUGAGAACCGCUGUUAUAGAAUCAAUGUUUCGAACUUUACGCGAUUCCUCUUCAAGUGACAGGAAUAACUUUGAUUUUUUAAAUGGGUCAGUACAUCAUGUGACACCUCAUUUAAAAGCUUUUGAAAUACGGAUUACAAAAAUGUAUAAUACUUUAAUCCUUUUUGAGAGCGUAGGCGCAAUAUUUCGGUUGAAUUAUUUUUAAAUGCAUUCAUUUUUUUCGAGUCCUGAGAAGAAUAAUAAGUAUUUUUGAAAUAUUUAAUCGCAGAAUGAAAGAUUACAUUAUUACCGAGGGCUGAAAGUGCCUUAGAAUAAACAAGUUUCUUUUGAAUAAUAUAUUUGAAAUUAAAAAUGACACUCAAUUUUCUCUUUUUGAGAAACCAAGUUAAUAGAGGGGGGGAACACUUAUUCCAGUGCACUUUGUAUGUUACAGUUUAAGUUGACUAUCUAGUUGAAGUUGACUAUUCGUAGUUCCAGUCUACUCAAACAACUGGUUUUAGUAAAAGUUUAUUUUAAAUGUAAAAUAAAGAUUUUAUUCAACAUUUCCUAGUAAAAGUAGACGCCAACUUAAAACAGUAUACUCUUCCUAAUGCCAUUUAGUACGAGUUGAUUCUUUCACAACAUAAACACAAACAACCGAUUCUAGAAAUUAAAUGUUACUGGGUAUGUUAAAAUCAUGACAAGUAGUUGAAGCAGUCAAAACAAAGAGAUGCGCACUUAUCAAAAAAACACGUGAGAUUCUACAUUUACUGAAUCCACCCAGAAAUAGUCAACUCAAAUUAUGUAGUAAGAGUUUAUUCUCUUUUUCCCGCGAUCUACUUUCACUAACAAGAAUUAGGAAGAGUCUACUGCAUUUAGUAAAAGUUGAGUUAGAUUUUUCAAAUCAACUCUUACUGCUCGUUUUAGUUUGAGUUGACUCGAACUAGGAAUAGUCAACUCUAACUGAGAAUCAACUUGAACUGUAACAUAUACAGGGUGAGUGGGGAGGAACGCACCAAACUUUAAGACUGUAUAAUAUACUUAGUAAUAAUUAAAAAUAACUGAUAUGUGUUAAAAUUUUUCUUACAAACUGACGAUUUAUUUAUUGCUCUAAAACCGGUUGAGAUAUGAAAAUGAAAUUUGGUAGGUUUUAAGAGAUAGUUAUUGUGCAUUUUUUGACAUACGAUUAAUAAUUCUAUAUUCACCAUUGGCGCACGUACAGGUAAUGGUCUGAAAUUAUUUACAGAAAACAAAUAGUAUGCCACUGAGAUAUUUCAAAUUAAUAGUUAUUUAUGUAUUAAGGGCGUAAAGUAGGCGUUUAUGGACCGCGACGUGUAAGUAAGAGCCCGAGCCAAUAGGCGAGGGCUAUUAACACGUAAGGUCCAUAAACGCUGUUUACGCCCGAAAUACAUACAAAUUUUUAUGCACGACUGUUUUAAUUAUUUAUUAAUAAAGAUAAAAAAUUCCUUGUACGCUCGUCUUAGUGACUAUUUUUAAUGCUUCUUUUUCUUUCCACCUUUUGCGAGCAAUUUAUUAUAAAUACCAUGUCAAAAGUUGCAUGAAUUGUAUAGCUCAAUUUAUUAAAACUCAUCCUGUAUAACAAUUCACCGAAUCAUUUGUAUUGGUUAGUUAAUAAAAAAUGUCAUAUUGAAAGAAAUAUGUGUAAGAAAUAAUAAUAUGAUAGAACAGUAAUCUCUAUAGCUAGGUUCGCCUUACCCUAGCAACAAAGUAAAUAAGUCAAGAAUAGUAAGUCGCCAUUAUUUAUCGUAUUGAAAAUUUUAUAACACAUUUUUUAAGAAGUUCUUUUAUAACGGAAACUAGUGACGAUGAAACAUUUUUUGAAAUUUUUAAAGCAGCAGAAAAUGCAAAGUUAAGUUUACUACCCGCUAAAUCUAAGAAAAUAUACGAUAAGGUCUACGAUGAAUUUGUUAGUUGGUGCAAAUUGCAGAAUAUUAAAACGGUAAUUAUACAGAAAAUGUAUUUCUUGCGUAUUUUAUAUUUUACGCAGUAAAUAAAAACUUUGUGUUUCACUAACCACACCCGCCAUCUAACAUUACCGUCCGGCGGGCGAUAAAGAAGCCCACGGGCGCUAAAGUGGCACUUUACGCCCGCCAAAUGUAUACAUAAUAUGGACUUUACCGCCCGGUCGUGGAUAAAAAUUAUUUUUGAAUUCUCUGUUCAAUUUCUGACAAACAAUCAGUCUUCCCGUUUGUUCAUAUGACGCUUCGUUUUCAUGCAAAAAAUAAAAUAUCUUAACGCUUACAAAGUAUUCGAAUAAUUCGUAUAGAAACAUCGUCGAAAACUUAAGCGUUAAGAUGUUUUAUUUUUUGCAUGAAAACGAAGCGUCUCACGAAAAAAAGGGAAGGCAGAUUUUUUGUCACAAAUUGAACAAGGAAUUCAAGAACGAUUUUUAAUUUGAAAUAUAUCAGUGGCAUACCAUUUUUAUCUUUAAAAAAUUUCAGACUAUUAACCGUACGCGCGCCAAUGGUGAAUAUGAAAUUCUUAAUUGUAUGUCAAAAAAUGCGCAAUAACUACGUCCUGAAACCCACCAAAUUUCAUUUGCACAGCUCAAGCGGUUUUAGAGCAAUAAAUAAAUCGUCAUUUUAUAAGAAAAAUUUUAACACCCCGUAUCUCGGAAACAAAUAAAAAUCGAAUAACAACAUAUUAUGAGUUAUUUUUAAUUAUUAUUACGUAUUUUACAGUCGUAAAGUUUGACGCGUUCCUCCCCACUCACCCUGUAUAUAUUGAGUAUUAUUAUAUUCCAGUACGAUAUUUAUUAAAACAUUAUACUAAGGUUAAUAUGUUUUCUAUGAUACGUUUUGGUGAAAUAUGAAAUAUUUAAUAAUUUUUAGCGUUUUAAGAUGCGUUCUUAUCAAAUCAAAAAUUAUUUUGGACCACCAUCUUAAGAACACGUGUCAUUCUAAAACGUAUCCGAGGACAUAUAUUUUUUAUAUUCUGUGAUGUAUUCCAUUAUAUAGAUAAUUGUAAUAUUGAAAUUAUAUAUUUGACACAAGUAUAUUUUUUAUUUACAAAUAUAUACCUAAUUUCAU